rnacentral:lncRNA from 1 species
UUAACAGAGAAACUUUAUGUCUGCCUUGAGCCUAAACAGCAGCCCGUUUAAUGCCAAACACAUCAAUCACACAAAAUAAUGGCUCGCUUAUAUCUUUUUGUCCUAAAGCUCUCAUGCACUGUUAUUCUUCAAAGGGCAGCCCGGGACCAAGGGGACUCCCUGGUGAUCGCAGCGAAAAGGGCUUUCGAGGAGAACCAGGUAUUCCUGGACCAGAUAGUAGCAUAGCAGGACCAAAAGGUUUAGAAGGGGGAAGAGGAAGAGAGGGUGAGAGGGGACCAAGGGGCCCCACGGGAUUCCCCGGCUUGAAAGGAACCAGAGUAAGAGCCAAAGAACGAAGAUGCUGACAUUGUUUUCCCUGUGAAAGAACUUCAUGGUGGUAAUGCAAGGCAGACUGCAACUGUCCUAUCACUGGGUCUACUGCCAGCAAUAGGCAGAGAACCCUAAACUCCCUCUUCCACACAUAGAAAUCCCUUUGAGAAUAUUGGAAUUGCAGUUGCGUGAGACUUUCCCCCUUUCUCUAAAUCUUUGCCACUUGAUUCUGGGAAAUGUCUUGAGGCCAAGAAAAGAGUUCUUGUGGGUCCAGAUUCAUGGCAGAGUCUGGACACUGAAAUCAAUAGGGUGCAUCUUCUGUUGGGGGCGGCAGGGAGGUUUCACCAUUGCAUUCUACUAGAAGCUUCCUUCAAAAAGUGUUUGGAAGGUUCGGAUGCUUCAAAGUGUGGCUGCCCAGUUGUUAAAUGGUGCCAGGCAUGGAAAACAUAUUGUUGCAGACCACUCCAGUCUCCAAGCAGUGUGAGAUCCCAGGGUUUGAUUUCUUCUGAAUGAAGGGCAGUGGAGACUGUGGUAUCUUUGUCAUAUAUGGUUUGUCACACAGCACCCUAGAGCUAUGCGCAUCUUCUUAAGAGUAAGCCCCUUUAAACUCAAUGGUACUUACAUCCAAGUAGGCAUAAUAAUUGGGUGUACUCUUCCCACCUUGGAUCAAAUCUAUGCUUCCAGGUGCCAUAAGAAAGCUGCAGAGAUAGCGCAGGAUAGUACGCACCCCAGAAAUUAUCUCUUUCAGCUUCUGCCUUCUGGAAGAAGGUACAGGGUUAUAAAGACUAGGACUAGCCGCCUGAGAAACAGUUUCUAUCCAAAUGCGAUUUUGGUUUUAAAUGCAGUGUAAGGAGUCUCUAUGGGAGUAUAUUGUAUUUAAAAAUGGGGUAUCAGAGUUUUUAGGGGGCUAACCAGGUUGGGAUAGCAGGCUUGUUGGUUUUUGAAUGUCUUAUGUAGAUUUUUUCAAUUUCGUUGUUCUGUAUGGGACAAUGACAAUAAAGAUUAUCAUAUUGUAUCGGGUAGUUAAAGUGAGAUCUAAAUAGAAAUGUUUAACUUAUUGCAAUUAUCUUGUCAUAGGGACAUCAAGGCCGAAGAGGCCAGCCUGGCCCCCAGGUAUGUGUGUGUGUGUAUAUAUAUAUAUAUAUAUAUAUAUAUAUAUAUAUAUAUAUAUAGGAGUGCUGUUUUAUCAUGACAGCAAUAUAUUAGAUUGUCUUACAAAGAAAACUGUCUGGCCUCAGUGUAAUUUGGUCUCUAAUUCAACUUAUUUCUUCAUGAAUGGAUAUUUUAAGUCUGGUCUUUUCUUGUUUGCUACAGGGGAGACAAGGGCCCCGUGGUCCUAGCGGUUUUCCUGGACAGCAAGGAUUUAAAGGUCCACAGGUCAACAUUAAAAAUAUUCAGCUUUAUUUCUGAGGGAUAUUGAGAGAGUCUGUGCUGAAAACAUGAUUUGUUCAUAUUCAAUUUUCUGUUUUUGUCAAAUAUGUUUCUAGGGUGUGAGAGGAAUCCAGGGCAUGAAGGGAAUGAAAGGAAAUCAAGGAAACAAAGGGUUUCCUGUAUGUAAACACUUUCUUUUCUUUUCUUCUUUAAAUCUCAAAUC